rnacentral:rRNA from 1 species
GAUGAACGCUGGCGGCGUGCCUAAUACAUGCAAGUAGAACGCUGAAGGAGGAGCUUGCUCUUCUGGAUGAGUUGCGAACGGGUGAGUAACGCGUAGGUAACCUGCCUGGUAGCGGGGGAUAACUAUUGGAAACGAUAGCUAAUACCGCAUGACAACAGUUAUUGCAUGAUAACUGUUUAAAAGGGGCAACUGCUCCACUACCAGAUGGACCUGCGUUGUAUUAGCUAGUUGGUGAGGUAACGGCUCACCAAGGCGACGAUACAUAGCCGACCUGAGAGGGGGAUUGGCCACCCUGGGACUGGGACACGGCCCAGACUCCUACGGGAGGCAGCAGUAGGGAAUCUUCGGCAAUGGACGGAAGUCUGACCGAGCAACGCCGCGGGGGGGAAGAAGGGUUUCGGAUCGUAAAGCUCUGUUGUAAGAGAAGAACGAGUGUGGGAGUGGAAAGUUCACACUGUGACGGUAUCUUACCAGAAAGGGACGGCUAACUACGUG